UACGGAGGGUGCAGGCGUUGUCCGGAAUCACUGGGCGUAAAGGGCGCGUAGGCGGCUCGGUAAGUAGGGGGUGAAAUCCUGCGGCUUAACCGCAGGGCUGCCUUCUAAACUGUCGAGCUUGAGCACGGUAGAGGCAGAUGGAAUUCCCGGUGUAGCGGUGGAAUGCGUAGAGAUCGGGAAGAACAUCAGUGGCGAAGGCGGUCUGCUGGGCCGUUGCUGACGCUGAGGCGCGACAGCGUGGGGAGCAAACGGG
rnacentral:rRNA from 1 species